AGAGCCCAAACUUAUACCACGGUC
rnacentral:siRNA from 1 species